UAUGAAUAUUAUUUAUGAACAUUAGUAGUAUGGAAAUAUUGAGAGAGGCUAAGGGCAAAAAAAGGGAAAUUCACAAAAUGGCUCAUGGUAAUAUUGUGGAAGGCUAGGGGCAAAAUGGGAAUUUCACAAAAUAUUCAAGAAAGUUCAUGAAAAGGCCAAGAUGGCCGUGUGGCAUGUGUGUGGCAUGUGCCCACAUUUUUAUUUGAUGGGGAAAAUUAUGCAUAUGGACAAAGCUUGCAUGGCAAGACAUUAGUCUUCUUUGUUUUAACUUAAGAAAUUUCAAGAAAGGUGGAGAAGGGACAUGUGUCCCUUUGGUAUUGGAAGGAGCUAUAUAUAUAUAGAGAGAGAGAGAGAUGACCAAAUAAGAUAUAUUAAUCUUCCAAAUCAAAAAGCUUGGAGAGAAAAGAAAAAAAAGGGAGAGAGAGGGGGGUUCGGCCAUGGUGGCCUAACAUGGAGCCAUGGAAAGUUGAUCCGAAAUUUUUUUUUCUUCUAGCUUUUCUACUAAAUGGAAGGCCCUUAUUAACAUGGGGUAGUUGUUGGAACAAGCAAAGCAUUCAUUUGGGCAAUUCAUAAGCCUAGCCGAAUGAAGGAGUUAAAGUGAAGAAGACUAGCGAUAACGAGCUUGGACAAUUAAGCGUAGCUAAUAGGACGUGGAGCAGGUACACCCAAAUGAGUUGAAGCUAUGAUAGAGGAUGUUCCAGCGGAGUUGGCAAGCUCCAUUUGCUCUGGAGUGUUGCCGGGUCAGAGUAAUAUGCUAUGAUGUCUUGUCCGAAAUUAGAGACUUUGCAGACAAAGUCGUGGGUGUAGUUUGUCGGUCUUGAAAGCAGCUUCACCAGCCGAUGUGUCUUUAUAUAUUAUGUUACAGAUUCCACAUGACCACAGAUUUUGUUUGAUUUGAGAACAACAAAAGAAAGAUU